UUCUUCCCCAGAAAGUGGGGGGAGGCAAAAACGAUGUAUUCCAGACUCCAACGGCUCCCAUCAUCAUGGUGCAUACCGUGGAGAGCUCGUUCUCAAGGCUCCUUGGGCGUGAGGAUGCAUGCCAGCUCCUGCAGUGUCCUGCAUGGUGCAGGGACAUUAGUGAAAUAUGAGAAGGCCCUGAGAAGAAAGGAACACCUACUAGCCAAGAUGAGGUAGUACAUACACUGCUUGUUUCUAAGCUACUGAGGUCUCAGCACAUGGUUCUUGUGUUCUAAUGAGAAUCUGAAGAGCCAUCCUACCUGCUGUUUCCCCAUGCAUGGUAUACUGAGCCCUGCUCCUGCGGGCAUACUGUGCCCAGCUCCUGUGCGGGUCAGCUUAGCACACAGGCAGCAAAAUGCCAUGCCUGUGAAGACUCACAGGAUCACAGAGGGAUAACCCAUUCAGGGAUCAGGGAUUACUGAGGGAUAGCCCACUCUCCCUGCUUUAGCCUUCUGCCAUGCUCCAACUGUUAGUGACGUCAUUGCCCAGUCCCACAGUGCUCUGCGGUGCCCAGAGGAAGAAAGUGGAACAGCCCUCCCUACGAAGGACCAACCGUUUCCAGCAUUUCUUUAAUCGCAUGUCUUUGAAACUGGCCAGAUUUAAGUGACCAUCUACUCACACUUCAUAAAUUCCCUUGCACAUGGCAAGUCACUUCAGUCGCCCAUGUAGGCACUGAAAAUAAAAGGGAUCGCUGUGGAGAAGCUGUGGCAGUCAUCACACUCCUUUUAUCGAAAUCAUAUGCUAAUUAUCAUUUGUUUGUUUGUUUUGUUUUGUUUUUGUUUGUUUUUUUCGAGACAGGGUUUCUCUGUGUAGCCCUGGCUGACCUGGAACUCACUUUGUAGACCAGGCUGGCCUCGAACUCAGAAACCCACCUGCCUCCUAAUUAUCAUUUAUUAGGAAUGACAGGGCGGUGUGGUGUGUCUAUAACUAGCGGGUGUGUGUGCAGAGGGAUCUAGAAAAGUCUCUCGCUUUAAGAUGAUACAGUCUGCAAAGAGAGAAAACACAAAGACCUCACAAACAAACCAAUGAAUCAUGCCAGGCCGUGAUAAAGACUCUCCGAGGACACAGUUACCCAGCGAUGACGUCACAGAAAAGGCAAGAGGGCCUGACAGGGAUCUCAGAGGACAAACAGAGUCUCACCAGACCCGACGGAACCGUUCCAGGUGGAUGAAGGGUGUGAUCGGAGCGGCCUUAGUGGAGUCUGUGGAAACUGGGAAAUAGUGGGCCUUAAGCUGGGAAUGUGGAUUCAGGCCAGAAUGUGGAAGGAAACUAAGGCGCUUGGACUUCAUCCUAGUGGAAGAACUGCAAUCCAGUGACUAAGCAGCUAUGACAGAAUGUGUGUAUUUUGGGACGUGUUUCUACAUAUCAACAGCAAGGCAAGAGGAAUCCAGGGAAGUGCAUUCUUCUAGCAAAAGGAACCCACUAGAAGAUGCAUGACCAUCCUUUAGUGCGUUCCCAGUACUGAUGGCAUGUGGCCACUUGGAAUCCCACCAACCCAGAUGCCAACUGGCACCUUGCUUUAAAAGGUACCACACUGAUCAUCAGACUGUGGCUGUGGUACCUGAUGAAAUAGCUGUGGACUCACCCAGCUGCUGAAGGCUGUCCCGUGUGACUCACAGGUCACUAUUUGAGCUUUGCUAAGAAUCCAAGCGCCCACACAAGCCAGGAAGUUCCAACAACCCAGGCAGGAUCAGCUUGGCGGAGAGCACCUCCUCUUUCACCCUCUGUAGGGUUAUGGGGAAAGCUCUGGUGUUCAACGUGGACCACGACAAUCUGGUGAACGCCACAAAUCCUGCCGAGCCUGGGAUUGCAUGCCUUUUGAUUAAUACAGCUUGCUACAUUCCUAAGGACUAUAUAAGGAAACAUUGCAUGGGCCAGCAAGAGAUGGCUCAGAGAGGAAAGGCGUGCCCCCCAAACCAGUGCUCUGAGGUCCGUUCCAGGGAAGCACCUCGUGGAAAGAGAAGGCCCACCACACAAGCUGUCCUUCUACCUCCUCAUCUGUACCAUGGCUCGUGUCCUCUCUCACUGCCACAAAACAAAUAAAUGUGACAGUCAUAGAAGAAAGGGGACACCGUGCAAAGAAAUCUAAUUCUGGCCCAUUGGAAGCAACCUGACUUGAUAGUUUGAUCUUAGUUUUCCUUCAGGAAAAAAAAAAAUACAAAGGUCAAAAACUAAUCUUUUCCCAGUUGUUCUCAGUUGAGAGUGAAUUCCGAAUUUCCCUUUUAUUAAUAUCUUGCCCUUUAUUGUGUGUCAGAGUGGAAGCGGUGGAGGCCGGACUGUGACCAUGAUGUAUGACUUUCCUGCUCUCCCUUCUCCUGUUGAGUGAUUAUCAUUUCACAAAAGUUCCCUCUGAAAGGGAGGAAUGUGCUUUUAAACCACACGGUUCCCAAUGAACCACCUCUGCCAAGGUGAUUAGUAAUCCCCCCCCCCCCCAGCAACAAGCUUGGGAGUCCACAGUACCCAGGCUCUCCAAACCGUUCGAGUUUUGUCACACACGAAACAGAAAACGCACGGUCUGAGAUCCACGAAACAGGAGCAGAAAGGACGGCUCAGUGGCCAAGGGCUGCUCUUCCAGAAGUCUCAGGUUCAGUUCCCAGCACCCACACGGUG